rnacentral:lncRNA from 1 species
GCCUUGAUGAACAUUUCACCUUUAUAGCCUGGUUAGAAAGUUAAGUUCUCUGAACAAAUGACUAGUAAUCACUUAUUGUUAGAAAGCAGAUAGAUCUGCUUCCCAUUCUUCCACCACCACCAAUUCAGGGAUGGCUUGUAUUUCUUCCAGUCACCAAGUAUUGGGGACGCUUUGGGUAUGGAGGAAGAAUCAAAUAUAUUGGUCAUAAGAAGUCGGAAAGCUUAGAACGGGAGAAGAAAAUGAUUCUCAAAGCAGUAGCACUUACCAAAUCUAAUCCCCUUGAGCUGGAACCUUCACCAGUGAUGUCUGAAGGGAGAGCUAAACUCUUCCAGAAGCCCAAGUUCAAACCUCUCCCUCUUCAAAAGCGGUGGCAAGAGAAAUUCGAUCGAUCUGAGCAGUUCCCCAAGAUGCGCGAGGUUCCCCCUUGCUCCAGUUUUCCCACCCGGCAGUGGAGGAAGGCUCAGAGCCGGGACAGCUCCAGUAGCCGGAGCAGCGUGUCCUCUGAGCGCCUGACAGUAAUGAUUAAUUUCAUCCCGCCUCCUGGGAGAGAGUCCCGCCCGGCAACUGACCAGCGGCCCAGGUGGACAGCACUGGUCACGAGACUCCUCGGCACUAGCUCCAAGAGCCUUCCGCAACUACAAAUCGAUUACCAUGACUAGUUUGGAGACCCGACCUAAAUCUUCUGCUGAUGAAAGAGAAUGAAGCCCUCCAAAGCUCUCUUGAAGAAAUUUAUGGGAAUAAGUUCCUCCAGGUACUUCUUUGUUAACAAUGAUUUCUUUGUCCAUGUUGAAUUGGAUAUUUUUUUUCCUGCACAUGAGGUUAAGAAUUUCAGGUGCCGGGUCAGAGACCCCGAAUCCCUAAGGUUCUUCCCAUACUCCUUUAAGCCACAGGCGACAUAAAAUAGUGAAAGAAGGCUUGUUUCUGAAUGUGUAUGCCAGUUCUGUAAGUGCUAAAAUCAUCAGAGCUAACUAGCUAUCCCAAGGGAUCAUUGAUGUGAAAUGCUCUAGGCAGGUACUUCAUU